AGAGAGAGACAUGCGCGCAUAUCAAUAAGCGGAGGAAAAGAAACUAACAAGGAUUCCCUUAGUAACGGCGAGUGAAGCGGGAAGAGCUCAAAUUUGAAAUCUUCAAGGUUUUACCUUGACGAAUUGUAGUUUAAAGAAGUGUUUUCUGUUGGAGUUUUGGUAAAAGUUCUUUGGAAUAGGACAUCAUAGAGGGUGAGAAUCCCGUAUUUGGUCAUUCCUCCUAGCGUUGUGAUACACUUUCAACGAGUCGGAUUGUUUGGGAAUGCAGUCCAAAAUGGGUGGUAAAUUUCAUCUAAAGCUAAAUAUUGGCGAGAGACCGAUAGCGAACAAGUACCGUGAGGGAAAGAUGAAAAGAACUUUGAAAGGAGAGUUAAACAGUACGUGAAAUUGUCAAAAGGGAAGCGUUUGACACCAGUGUUGUUUUCUCGAAAAUCAAUUAAAAAUGGUGGGAUGUUGUGUUGUAUUGACUUUAUCAGCUUUCUGCACUUUUUUCCUGUCUUUUUUAAUGCACUUUUCGUUUAACAAGUCAACAUCAAUUUCUUUUGUUGUAAAAGGGUAUGAGGAAGGUGGCUUUCUUUUCGGAGAAAGUGUUUAUAGCCUUGUGCCUCUGCAAUCGGAGAGAUUGAGGUCUGCAGCGUAGAUCCUUCGGGGUUAGAUAGCGUUUGUGCUAAGUUAUAGCUUUUCAUAGACAACUUGUUGACUAUGUUUAGUCUUGUAGCUUACUCGCUUACUGCUAUUUUACCUACGCUUAGGAUGUUGAUAGUCACAGCGUGUAC
rnacentral:rRNA from 1 species